CCGAAAACGCGAGACAGAUUUCGGCACAUUAAAAAAAUAUUUUAUUGCCACUAUACACUGUGCUACAUGAUGCUUAGAAGGUCGUUGAAGCAUCAAACAUGUUCAAAUAAAAAAAAUAUUAGAUUAGUGUUAGACGUUCUCCUACGCUUGUUUUAAAUAGGCUUUUUCACCCUCGAUUGCCACGGGCAUCGAAUGGUCUCAUCAGCAGCGGCACGAAAUAAAAUAAACCAUCAAUACACCGAUAACACUUUGAAUCCCAUUCCAGCUUCUCCCACAGCCCACCAAUAAUAAUACACAACCGCAAUGCACAUAUAUGAACCAACGCAUACACCACAACAACCAAUCAGCUGGCGGCGGAAAGCACGGGCAGAAGCGCCGCAAGUACAAGUAAGGCAAGGCAGGGUGAGGGAGGGAGAAGAAGCGGACGAAAAAAUGGGCGCCAAUUUUUUAAAUUUUUUUGACCGUUUUUUUUUGCUCCGCCGCCAUAAAUAGUUCGUCCAUUUCGCCAGCAGAUGGCGCUAAACUUGCUCGACCCAGCGCAGGAAUCGCUGAAGUCCAGCGCGGGGAACGGGCCAAAAUCUGCGCUGGCCAGCGCAGAUUUUGGUGCAUUUUCUGCGCUGGAAACUGCUCGAAUUUGCGCAGCGGGGAUUCUCAGGAACGGAAACGCCGCAAGACUCAUCCAUACAACUAGAGCAGAAUGGAUGGGCUAAAGCAAAACCCUGUAAAAACAAAAGAGCAACAGGACUGUGGGAGUAAAGGCAGAUCAACGUGCGCGCACGAUUUCUGAGACUUCACACAAUCGGGAGGAAUGAUGGUAAAGACCAUCCAAACCGAAACGUAAAAGGCCAAUGUACUGGUGAUAUGUGGUUGAUACGUUGAAAUUGUUAAGGGGGGAGGGGGGAUAACAAGUUCCCAAAAAAUAAUACAUAUCGCCUGGACAAAUACGGGGCGUAAUGUGGAUCGCCCAUUCCACCCACCGUUAAAUCCGCCACUGCCGCAACCUACGGCUUGUUGAAAAUACAGGCGCACGGAAUAGCGUGUACCCGUUUCGGCGAACGUUAGUUUUGCACCAGUGCGAAUGAGAAGUACAAUCAAUUCGUACCAUAUGACGAUGAAACAGACUGUGUUUUCCAUACACAUUGGUGCGACAAUGUAGGAACAGUGCCAGGAACUGUGCUGGAUUCAGAUUCGGAAUGAUAUUUGGAGCAGGUCUGAAACCGAUACAAUUCCAGUUCCAGUCAACUAACUAUACCCGGUAGUAAAUGUGCAGCGUAGGAAUAUUGUAGGAAUUCAAUAUAACAAGCAAAAGAAUGUUUGUAUAGUUAGUAUAUACAGUAGGUGACCGCUAACUGAGAGGUAAACAACCUCCAGUUAACGAACAAUGUUCGUUAACUGGAGUGACGUUUCUAUGGAUUGAUUGUUUUGAUUGGCGUUGACUGGAAUAAACAUACCAAACUUUUUUUUCAUUUAUGUUGAUAUAAAGUAUAGUAAUUCGUGUAAUAACAUAAAUUAAUAGCAAACGUAGGCAAGAGACCCUAAAUUUGUUUGAAAAAUCCACAUUUGCGACAAAUUUCUCUUCAUGAGAUUCCGGAUGUUUCUCGUUUUGACGUUUAAGUGUUCGUUAACUGAGAAUCACUCCAGUUAGCGAACCUCCAGUUAAAACACAUCCAGUUAGCGGUCACCUACUGUAUAUUGCUCUCUCCCGUCCUUUUUUUAACGGACCAUUUACAUAUGAUAACUUUGUUCAUGAUUUGUUCAUUAUUGGCGCAAAGCCGCCUGAUUCGAGAUAGGUAGCUUCAUUCAUUGGUAACUGUUGUGAACCAUUUCCCUACACCUGUAAUAAAUAUGGAACCGUUUAAAAUGA